rnacentral:rRNA from 1 species
ACGCUCGACACCUACGGGAGGCUGCAGUGGGGAAUAUUGCACAAUGGGGGAAACCCUGAUGCAGCGACGCCGCGUGAAGGAAGAAGUAUCUCGGUAUGUAAACUUCUAUCAGCAGGGAAGAAAAUGACGGUACCUGACUAAGAAGCCCCGGCUAACUACGUGCCAGCAGCCGCGGUAAUCUGAGCGGGCUGGCAAGGC